UAUUAUUCUCCGUAACAAUUUUUAACACGCGCCAUCAAGACUUCAUCCCUAUAAUUCGUAUAAUCCAACCCUCUUAGAAGCCCUGGGCACUGAGGAAGUGAAUCAGACACUGGUCCACUGGGCUAGAGAUCCACAGAGGCGUCUCCACCCCUCAACCCCGGAUCCACAGCCGGGGGAAAGGGGCGGCUGGUGGGAAUUACUCGGAGCAACUGGUAAUUGGUGGGGCACGCGCGUGCCCUGGUGUUCAGAGUUCUGAAUCGUUGCGAGUCAGUUACAAGCUGAACCACUAGCGUCUGAACCCUAUACAUCUGAAGCCGGGAUGAAAUUCAGGAGUUCUAUUCCCCCUUCUCCUUUUAAUUGUCAUGGUGGUGUCUUUCGACCCUAGCAGAGAAUAUGUGGUCGAUAUUAGAAUCACCUGGGGAGAUUUUACAAAGCAUCUAUGCUUGGGUUUCUUUGGAGCCAAUAGGAAAAAAAUGAAGAACUGUGUACAAUGGUGACUAAAGAGCCUCAGCAUGACUUCCGCCCCUCAGCGCCAUCUAUAACCUGUUUUACCAUGUCGGAUCCCGUCUGGAGAAGCCCACCGAGUGCAGGUGAACCAGGGAGGCGAAGUCCAUAGAAACAGCUGUCUUGGGGGUCCGGGAAGAGUUUAACACUGGAAUCACAUCUGCGGAAACCGGGAACUGGAAGCAAAUUGAGGAUGCGGCCAGAAGGGAAAAUCAAGUUUUUCAAGCAAUGAGGUUCGGCCUUGGCCUAACCAAUAGUUUCUACCACUCUCCGCACCCCUAAAAUUUCCAUCUAUUCAUCUGGUUCCAGAAACAGAUUAUCCAGCGUCUUUGUAGAUCUACGAAUAUCCCUUAAAGUCGGGUGCGGUGGUUCACGCCUGUAAUCCCAGCAUUUUGGGAGGCCGAGGCGGGUGGAUCACUUGAGAUGAGGAGUUCGAAACCAGCCUGCCAAUAUGGUGAAACCCCUGUCUCCACUAAAAAUACAAAAAAUUAGCCGGGCGUGGUGGCGCACACCUGUAAUCCCAGCUGCUCGGGAGGCUGAAGCAGGAGAAUCGCUUGAACCCAGGAGGCAGAGGUCGCAAUGAGCUGAGUUCGCGCCACUGCACUCCAGCCUGGGCGACCGAGUAAGACUCCCUCUCAAAAAGGAAAAAAAAAAAAAAAAAAACAAAUCCGCUUUUUGUCUGGCUUUGUCGCUGCCGGAGGACCUUGUGGCCACAAGGGGGCGUGCGUCCCAUUUGAUUUCUUUAUUCUGGUUUCUGUAGUCCUGAUUUCGAUCCAGGGGUGUACAAAUUAUUUUUCUAAGGUAAAUAUUAGCAAGAGAAGCGAAUAUACUUAUGGCUGCAGACUUAGAGGCAGAGUCUUUGCACAAAGACAAAUGCUUUAGUUGCCACUUUUUCUUCUGGGCCUAUUGAGUACCAGCUACUGUGCCAGGUGCUAGGUGCUAGGUACUGUUCAGCAGAAGCUAGUUGGGAAAAGGAGGAUCCGUUGGGCAUUACUAGAGUCCCAUCACUCUCAAAAAAGCCAUACGAAAGCCGUCACCCAACAUCUGCACCUUCAACUGCUUCUUUUCCAGAAAUUCCAUCAUUAGAAACUUCCUCUUUUUAUUUUCUAGUCUCUAUGAAAUUGGGGCAAGAUACUAAAAAUUGAAAGUGGAGAAGACAAAAUAUCUUAUUUAAGAAAGUAACUUUGCUGCGCAGGGCAUAGUAGGUCUUUUAAAGACCUUAAGACAACCUUUAAUACUUGCUUUUCUCUUUUGCUUUUUCAUUGCAAUCAGGGCUGACAAAAAGUGGAUAACUCUGUUGGAAGAAAACCUCCCAAUUUCCUGCCCCCACCAUUUUAGACAAGAGAGUUAAAAACUCAGAUAUUAGCCAGGCGUAGUGGCUCACUCCUGUAAUGCCAGCACUUUGGGAGGCUGAGGCGGCUGGAUCACUUGAGGUCAGGAGUUCAAGACCAGCUUGACCAACAUGGCAAAACCCUGUCUCUACUAAAAAUACAAAAAUCAGCCGUGGGCGGUGGCGGGUGACUGUAAUCUUGGCUACUUCGGAGGCUGAGACAGGAGAAUCGCUUGAACCUGGGAGGCAGGGGUUGCAGUGAGCAGAGAUUGCACCACUGCUCUCCAGCCUGGGUGACACAGCGAGACUCUCUCAACAAACAAACAAAAAACCAACUCAGAUGUUCUAAGCAAGUGUAGAAACCCACCAUUCAUCUCAGAACUUGGCUCAAAGUCAGCCUUGCUUUGAGGCUCACACCACCUAGGUGCUUUCUCCUUCUUCAACCCUGGACAGAAUUUACCCAGUCAGUUUGGCCUCCCCUUACUCUUUUCUGUUUAUUUUCUAUGACUCUAUUAGGCGCGCAGGUGUGGAAAUGAGGUGAAAGAAAAUUAGCCCAAUCCCAUAGUUCAGAUCCAUGGGUUGUGUAUUGGCAUGACUGUAAACUGGGAGCAAUUGGUUUGCCUAGGGCUUUUGAAUUGGGAGUUCUGGUUUCUAGCAACAUUGGAUUAGGUAUCAAAUUUUACAACUUCUUAGCUUCCACAGAAGUAAAUUAAGGUCAAGAAACCCCAUCUCUACAAAAAGUACAAAAAUUAGCCGGGCUUGGUAGCAUGUGCCUGUAGUAGUCCCAGCUACUAGAGAAUCUGAGGUGGGAGGAUCACCUCAGGAGGGUGAAGCUGUGGAACUGUGAUCAUGCCUCUGCACUCCAGCCUGGGUGACAGAGUGACAGACUGAGACCCUUCCUCAAAAAAAAAAAAAAAAAUCUUAAAUUUCACAUGGAAGUUUUAACAGUUGUUAGCAGUUGUUAAACUAUUGACUCUCAACUCCAAACCCACUACUAUGGACUGAAUUGUGUUUCCUUAAAAUUCUGUGUUGAAUCCCUAAUCCUUAAAGUGACUUAGUUGGAGUAAGGAAGUAGUUAAGGUUAAAUAAGGUCAUAGGGAUGCACCUUGAUCCCUAAGAUUAGUUUCCUUAUGAGAGGAGACAGAGUACUCAAACCAUGUGAAGACACAGCAAUAAGGUGUCCAUCUGCAAGCCAGGAAGUGAGCCCUUACCAAGAACCAAAUCAGUUGGCAACUUAAUCUUGGACUUCCCAGCCUCCAGAACUGUGAGAAAAUAAAUUUUUGUUGUUUUAAGCCA
rnacentral:lncRNA from 1 species